CCUACGGGCGGCAGCAGUGGGGAAUAUUGGGCAAUGGGCGCAAGCCUGACCCAGCAACGCCGCGUGAAGGAAGAAGGCUUUCGGGUUGUAAACUUCUUUUCUCAGGGACGAAGAAAGUGACGGUACCUGAGGAAUAAGCCACGGCUAACUACGUGCCAGCAGCCGCGGCAAUACGUAGGUGGCAAGCGUUAUCCGGAUUUAUUGGGUGUAAAGGGCGUGUAGGCGGGAGCGCAAGUCAGAUGUGAAAACUCAGGGCUCAACCCUGGGCCUGCAUUGGAAACGGUGUUUCUUGAGUGCUGGAGAGGCAAUCGGAAUUCCGUGUGUAGCGGUGAAAUGCGUAGAUAUCACGAAGAACCCCGAUUGCGAAGGCAGCUUACUAAACUGUGACUGACAUUGAGGCUCGAAAGUGUGGGUAUCAAACAGGAUUAGAUACCCCUGUAGUC
rnacentral:rRNA from 1 species